ensembl:lncRNA
AUGCUAGGCCCCAGCUGCUUAUGUCUGGGAGGCAGGUUCCUGGGAGUAAAUAUGGGAUCCUCCAGGGAGAGUCUGCUUCUGGACACAACUGUCCCCCUCAUCACAGGGCUCCUUGACGAGGUUCAGAGACACCUGUACCCGGAUGUAAUGGGUGGAGGUCUUACACUCUGCAUCACUGGCUCUCAUGAGCUGACGCAUAGCUUGUGUCACUCGCUCGCGGGACGAGCUGUUCCCCAUUGUCCCUUGACCGGGAACUUUACUACCCUACGUCCCUCCUCAGGAUCCUUAAAUGCUAGCACUUCACACUUACCUGCAAACUUCUGAAGAGGAUGAGAGGGUCCCCGUACGGGCCACCACUUGCCGGAGCCGCUCAAACUGCCCGCAGUUUGAAGAACUGACGACACCGGGAUUCGUUGCAGAGACUUUAUUGGUUCUUUUCUUCCUUCUUCCUUCCCCCUCCCCGCUGCUUGCUCCCCCAUAUCUACCUGCCGCCCAGGCUGCGCAGCAGCUCAUAAUAGGCUGGCAGAGGCAGGGCUGACCCAUUCCAUGGCCUCGCAUUGGUCGCUCACUCAUGGCGGUAUCUGGCCGGGGGGGGCGGGAGCACUAGAGGCCGGCAGGGUCUUGCAUCCGCCUCCUACCAAAAAUUGCCCUCAAACAGUAUUUGGCCUUCUGGGCCACACAAUGUGGCUUUGCAAAGAGACAUAUACUUUUAAGGCUUUAUGUGCUUAUUAAAGGAUAAGCAUCCUGCCCGUGCAUAACUGAUGAGGGGCCUUAAGGAAUGUAAACCACCUCCUAGAAUUUCUUCAGGCUCAUCUUCCACUUGGAGCCAGACCAUUAGGGAAUCCCUCCCUUGUAAUGACUUGAUUAUUCCUUUUAUUUACUACUGUCCUCAUAAAAAUGACCUUUUCCAGAGCUUGUCUUUACUUCAAAAAUCUUGAAUUAUGUAAUCAUUAAAGUAUCACACCAACAACCCCCUACUCGGUACCUUUCGAGUGGGGUGCCCCCCCCCCCCCGCACUACUGGAGGACACCACCAUUAUAUUCUCUCAUCUAAUUCACCUAAAACAGAUGGAUACAGAGGAUUUGGGACUGGCUGCCAGCUUCACUCUAAGAUGACACAGUUGUAUCAAUUUCUCGGGGGGCUGGAAGAGAACACGUGCACAGACAAUCCGGGCCCCUCACCUGCAGACCUGGGAUGUCCUGCUCCAUUUGGAAGCAGCCAAUCCUGAAGCUCCAGCUUCCAGACGAGGCGACCUAUUCCAUCCCGCCAUGCCCCUGAAAGGCCCUUAUUUGAUAAUCUGCCCUCCCAAGCUCAUGCCUAUCAGGCGUGACUUUCCCCG